AGCGAACGCUGGCGGCAGGCUUAACACAUGCAAGUCGAGCGGGCCCUUCGGGGUCAGCGGCGGGCGGGUGAGUAACGCGUGGGAACGUGCCUUCUGGUCUGGAAUAACCCUGGGAAACUAGGGCUAAUACCGGAUACGCCCUUUUGGGGAAAGGUUUACUGCCGGAAGAUCGGCCCGCGUCUGAUUAGCUAGUUGGUGGGGUAACGGCCUACCAAGGCGACGAUCAGUAGCUGGUCUGAGAGGAUGAUCAGCCACACUGGGACUGAGACACGGCCCAGACUCCUACGGGAGGUAGCAGUGGGGAAUAUUGGACAAUGGGCGCAAGCCUGAUCCAGCCAUGCCGCGUGAGUGAUGAAGGCCUUAGGGUUGUAAAGCUCUUUUAUCCGGGACGAUAAUGACGGUACCGGAGGAAUAAGCCCCGGCUAACUUCGUG
rnacentral:rRNA from 1 species